ACAUAUAUUGCAGCGUUUUUUGUUUUCCGCAAACCGUUUUGAUUUCUCGGCACCCUUACUCAUCAGAUGCGGCCAUGUUGGUUUUAUUGUAAACGUUCACUUUGGAUGUUGGAAAUUACUCUAAAAGGUUACUUCCGCUACUGGCCUUAAUUAGCUUUGAACGCAAAAUUUCAAACUAACGCGUUGUUAAUUUUUUUCCAUGGUAUAAAUCAUUAGACAAACGUGGUAAACAAACAGAUGUCAGACAGACACUAAUUGUCUUAUAUAAAGUGAUAAUAGAUAGUAGAUUUGUAUAAGGAUAAUAUGUCUUUUAUCGUUCUUGAUAGAGACCAGAUUUCACAUGAACAUAAAAAUGUAAAUUGUAUUUACCUGGGGGAUACUUCUUUCUUCUGAAAAUAUUAAGAUCGUCUAUGGAAAUAUACUCAUGUAGAUAUUUGAUGCCAAGCCAACUGGAAAGUCUAUAUGGAUCUAUUAAUAAAAGCUCUGUACUGUUAUAUUCUUUAUAAAAACAAACAUAUAUUUAUUUUACUACCUGUUAAA